rnacentral:rRNA from 1 species
UUUCGGUCAUCGUCUGCCGCUGAGGUCCGAUGUCGUGGGUAGCAAACAGGAUUAGAUACCCUGGUAGUCCACGCUGCAACCGAUGAGUGUUAGGUUCUUGGAAUAAUCUGGGAGCCCCAGCUAACGCAUUAAACACUCCGCCUGGGGAGUACGCACGCAAGUGUGAAACUCAAAGGAAUUGACGGGGACCCGCACAAGCAGCGGAGCAUGUGGUUUAAUUCGACGCAACGCGAAGAACCUUACCAAGUCUUGACAUAAUACGGAGGGAGUUAGAGAUAAUUCCUUAUCACUUCGGGGAGCUGUAUUACAGGUGGUGCAUGGUUGUCGUCAGCUCGUGUCGUGAGAUGUUGGGUUAAGUCCCAUAACGAGCGCAACCCCUUUCGUAUGUACCAUCA